rnacentral:rRNA from 1 species
UAUAUUGUGAAACUGCGAAUGGCUCAUUAAAUCAGUUAUGAUCUACGUGACAAAUUCUUUACUACUUGGAUAACCGUGGUAAUUCUAGAGCUAAUACAUGCAAAAAAGCCCUGACUCACGAAGGGGUGCACUUAUUAGAUAAAACCAACGCGGGGUAAAACCUGUUUCGUGGUGAAUCAUAAUAAUUAAGCGGAUCGCAUGGCCUUGAGCCGGCGACGGUCCACUCGAUUUUCUGCCCUAUCAUGGUUGAGAUUGUAAGAUAGAGGCUUACAAUGCCUAUAACGGGUAACGGGGAAUUAGGGUUCGAUUCCGGAGAGGGAGCCUGAGAAACGGCUACCACAUCCAAGGAAGGCAGCAGGCGCGCAAAUUACCCAAUCCCGACACGGGGAGGUAGUGACAAUACAUAACAAUGCAGGGCCUUUACGGUCUUGCAAUUGGAAUGAGUACAAUUUAAAUCCCUUAACGAGGAUCAAUUGGAGGGCAAGUCUGGUGCCAGCAGCCGCGGUAAUUCCAGCUCCAAUAGCGUAUAUUAAAGUUGUUGCAGUUAAAACGUCCGUAGUCAAACUUUAGUCUUACCGGCGCGGUGGCCUGGUCUUCAUUGAUCAAGCUCGCUGUCGCUGGAGACUCCACGUCCGCUGGCUCCUAGUCCUCGUGGCUAGGGUUUUGUGGACAAUUACCAUGAGCAAAUCAGAGUGUUUAAAGCAGGCUUUUAAGCUUGAAUGUGUUAGCAUGGAAUAAUGAAAUAUGACUUUAGUCCUAUUUUCGUUGGUUUAGGUACUAUAGUAAUGAUUAAUAGAAACGGUUGGGGGCAUUUGUAUUUGGCCGCUAGAGGUGAAAUUCUUGGAUUGGCCGAAGACAAACUACUGCGAAAGCAUUUGACCCAGGACGUUUUCAUUGAUCAAGGUCUAAAGUUAAGGGAUCGAAGACGAUUAGAUACCGUCGUAGUCUUAACCACAAACUAUGCCGACUAGAGAUUGGGCGUGUUUCUUUUGACUCGCUCAGCAUCUUAGCGAAAGUAAAGUUUUUGGGUUCUGGGGGGAGUAUGGGACGCAAGGCUGAAACUUAAAGGAAUGA